GCUGUGUGUUUUCAGGUUCGAGUGCUGAUGAGGCGCGGCUGCGACGCCAGGCACGGCAAGAUAUCCGUCGUGGGAAGCGUCCUGUAGAUUCAUCGUCUGUUGGAAGGAACGUUCGGCCUGUACUUGAAGAGCUGGUUGAUCCUUGUCUUCUUGCUGUUAGAGCUGCAUCUGACGUGGAAGUUUUGUGUCGUCCGUAUUUUACUGUUGGUUGGUUGUCUGGUUCCUCGCGUGGACCGACUCCUUCUGUUCUUCCUACACCUGUUGUUAGUCGUGUUGAUGCUGUUUGGAAUCGUCGGAAGCGAAGGAUUCUUCGAGAUUAUUACACCAGCAA